rnacentral:rRNA from 1 species
CCUACGGGUGGCAGCAGUGGGGAAUAUUGGGCAAUGGGCGCAAGCCUGACCCAGCAACGCCGCGUGAAGGAAGAAGGCUUUCGGGUUGUAAACUUCUUUUCUCAGGGACGAAGCAAGUGACGGUACCUGAGGAAUAAGCCACGGCUAACUACGUGCCAGCAGCCGGGGUAAUACGGAGGUGGCAAGCGUUAUCCGGAUUUUAUGGGGGUAAAGGGCGUGUAGGCGGGGAUGCAAGUCAGAUGUGAAAACCACGGGCACAACCUGAGGCCUGCAGUUGAAACUGUAGUUCUUGAGUACUGGAGAGGCAGGAGGAAUUCGUGGUGUAGCGGUGAAAUGCGUAGAUAUUAGGAGGAACACCAGUGGCGAAGGCAGUCUGCUGGACAGCAACUGACGCUGAGGCACGAAAGCGUGGGGAGCAAACAGGAUUAGAUACCCGGGUAGUC